GCCGGGCACAGUGGCCCAUGCCUGUGAUCCCAGCAGCUCGGGAGGCUGAGGCAGGAGGAUCACAAGUUCAAAGCCAGCCUCAGCAAAAGUGAGGCCCUAAGCAACUCAGAGAGACCCUGUCUCUA
rnacentral:sRNA from 1 species